rnacentral:snRNA from 1 species
UUGCUUUGGAAGCACAUACACUAAAAUUGGAAAAAUACAGAUUACCAUGGCCCCUGCGCAAGGAUGACAUGCAAAUUCGUGAAGCAUGCCAUAUUAAA